rnacentral:tRNA from 1 species
ACUUAUAUAGCUUAUUUUAGAGCGUAACACUGAAGAUGUUAAGGAAAUAUAAUUAUUUAUAGGUA